CACAAACUAACUUGGAGCCCUGAGGAGACAUGCAGGGUUCUCAAACUGACCCACUGCAGAGAUCCAGGGCCGGUCGUUCCUUGUGAGCUUUUGAAUGUUGUGCGGGCAGCACAGGUCCUGACUUCCCUAAGGAGGCACUACUGACACAGCUGCACUUUGAAGAAAAGCCAGGCUCCAGAACUCCCGGAGGACACCAGAACCCAGGGAUGCUGGAGUCUCCUAGAAAAUGACUUAGAACCUGCACGUAACCUGCUCCUAGCCUCUGAUGCAUGUCUGCUCUACAUUUCCUAUGACAGCUGGUACAAUGGAUCGAACUCAGGUCCUUCCACUUGCGAGGCAGGCAGCAGAACCACUGAGCUAGAUUACCGGCCCCAAGGGUCACCAUUUCUGAUGAAGAAGUGAUCCAUGUUCAGCUACCAGCAGCUCACUGGGAUGCAGUCCUUCUGUACCGCAAGCAUGUGCCAAUAAACCCUAAAAACUGAA